UCAGUCGACUCCUACGGGGAGGCAGCAGUGGGGAAUAUUGCACAAUGGGCGCAAGCCUGAUGCAGCCAUGCCGCGUGUAUGAAGAAGGCCUUCGGGUUGUAAAGUACUUUCAGCAGUGAGGAAGGCAGGUACGUUAAUAGCGUGCUUGUUUGACGUUAGCUGCAGAAGAAGCACCGGCUAACUCCGUGCCAGCAGCCGCGGUAAUACGGAGGGUGCGAGCGUUAAUCGGAAUUACUGGGCGUAAAGCGCAUGCAGGUGGUUUGUUAAGUCAGAUGUGAAAGCCCGGGGCUCAACCUCGGAAUUGCAUUUGAAACUGGCAGACUAGAGUACUGUAGAGGGGGGUAGGAAUUUCAGGUGUAGCGGUGAAAUGCGUAGAGAUCUGAAGGAAUACCGGUGGCGAAGGCGGCCCCCUGGACAGAUACUGACACUCAGAUGCGAAAGCGUGGGGAGCAAACAGGAUUAGAUACCCUGGUAG
rnacentral:rRNA from 1 species